UACAGAGGCCUCGAGCGUUAGGCGGAAUCACUGGGCUUAAAGCGCGUGUAGGCGGAUCGUUAAGUACCUUGUGAAAUCCCACGGCUCAACCGUGGAACUGCUGGGUAUACUGGCGGUCUUGGGCCAUCUAGGGGUCGCCGGAACAAGCGGUGGAGCGGUGAAAUGCGUAGAUAUCGUAAGGAAGACCAGUGGCGAAGGCGGGUCUCUGGACAGUUCCUGACGCUGAGGCACGAAGGUCAGGGGAGCAAACGGG
rnacentral:rRNA from 1 species